CUGGGAUCCCGGACGAGCAGAGCGGGCGUACACCUGUCCCUGGCACCUCCCCCAACCUACCCAGACGCGGCGCGGGAACCCUCCUGUCUCAGAAACCAGGACCAGGCCGCCCUGUUCGCCACGGCCCACCAGGGGGCGCCCAGACCGCAGGAACGCCGCCUACGAGGAAAAGAAUGGACCUGUUCUGAGACCCGGCCUGGGCAGUGGAGGGGGCUCACAGGAAAGUACAAACAAUACAAGUUUACGAUAAAAUCGCAGUUGCCAUUUAUGGAAUGCACACACUAUGCAGUCUCUGCGCUAAGCGAUUUAAAUAUAUAGAUGGUUGAAAUCUCCACGA